AGUGGCGGACGGGUGAGGAAUACGUAGGGAUCUGCCCUUAAGUGGGGGAUAACCCGGGGAAACCCGGAUUAAUACCGCAUGAUCUCGCAAGAGCAAAGAGGGGGACCGCAAGGCCUCUCGCUUUUGGAGGAACCUACGUCGGAUUAGCUAGUUGGUGAGGUAACGGCUCACCAAGGCGACGAUCCGUAACUGGUCUGAGAGGAUGAUCAGUCACACCGGAACUGAGACACGGUCCGGACUCCUACGGGAGGCAGCAGUGGGGAAUAUUGGACAAUGGGCGAAAGCCUGAUCCAGCAAUACCGCGUGUGUGAAGAAGGCCUUCGGGUUGUAAAGCACUUUAAGUUGGGAAGAAAAAGCUUCACCUAAUACGUGGAGCCUUGAAGGUACCGACAGAAUAAGCACCGGCUAACUCUGUGCCAGCAGCCGCGGUAAUACAGAGGGUGCUAGCGUUAAUCGGAUUUACUGGGCGUAAAGCGUGCGUAGGCGGUUUGAUAAGUCGAUUGUGAAAGCCCCGGGCUCAACCUGGGAAUUGCGGUCGAUACUGUCAGACUCGAAAACGGUAGAGGGAGGCGGAACUCCAGGUGUAGCGGUGAAAUGCGUAGAUAUCUGGAAGAACACCGAUGGCGAAGGCAACCUCCUGGGCCUGUUUUGACGCUGAGGCACGAAAGCGUGGGUAGCAAACAGGAUUAGAUACCCUGGU
rnacentral:rRNA from 1 species